CCCUUAGAUGUCCGGGGCCGCACGCGCGCUACACUGACGGAGCCAACGAGUACUUUCCUUGUCCGGAAGGACUGGGUAAUCUUGUGAAACUUCGUCGUGCUGGGGAUAGAGCAUUGCAAUUAUUGCUCUUCAACGAGGAAUUCCUAGUAAGCGUGAGUCAUCAGCUCGCGUUGAUUACGUCCCUGCCCUUUGUACACACCGCCCGUCGCUACUACCGAUUGAAUGGCUUAGUGAGCCUUUGGGAUUGGCAGCUUGUACCGGCAACGGUAGCAGGCCGCUGAAAACUUAGGCAAACUUGGUCAUUUAGAGGAAGUAAAAGUCGUAACA
rnacentral:rRNA from 1 species